rnacentral:rRNA from 1 species
GACGAACGCUGGCGGCGUGCUUAACACAUGCAAGUCGAACGGAAAGGCCCUGCUUUUGUGGGGUGCUCGAGUGGCGAACGGGUGAGUAACACGUGAGUAACCUGCCCUUGACUUUGGGAUAACUUCAGGAAACUGGGGCUAAUACCGGAUAGGAGCUCCUGCUGCAUGGUGGGGGUUGGAAAGUUUCGGCGGUUGGGGAUGGACUCGCGGCUUAUCAGCUUGUUGGUGGGGUAGUGGCUUACCAAGGCUUUGACGGGUAGCCGGCCUGAGCGGGUGACCGGCCACAUUGGGACUGCGAUACGGCCCAGACUCCUACGGGAGGCAGCAGUGGGGAAUAUUGCACAAUGGGCGGAAGCCUGAUGCAGCAACGCCGCGUGCGGGAUGACGGCCUUCGGGUUGUAAACCGCUUUCGCCUGUGACGAAGCGUGAGUGACGGUAAUGGGUAAAGAAGCACCGGCUAACUACGUG